ACGUUAGCGGCGGACGGGUGAGUAACACGUGGGUAACCUACCUAUAAGACUGGGAUAACUUCGGGAAACCGGAGCUAAUACCGGAUAAUAUUUCGAACCGCAUGGUUCUAUAGUGAAAGAUGGUUUUGCUAUCACUUAUAGAUGGACCCGCGCCGUAUUAGCUAGUUGGUAAGGUAACGGCUUACCAAGGCGACGAUACGUAGCCGACCUGAGAGGGUGAUCGGCCACACUGGAACUGAGACACGGUCCAGACUCCUACGGGAGGCAGCAGCA
rnacentral:rRNA from 1 species